UAACUUAGUGGCGGACGGGUGAGUAACGCGUGAGUAACCUGCCUUUCAGAGGGGGAUAACGUCCUGAAAAGGACGCUAAUACCGCAUGAUAUAUUUGUGCCGCAUGGUAUGGAUAUCAAAGGAGCAAUCCGCUGGAAGAUGGACUCGCGUCCGAUUAGCUAGUUGGAGGGGUAACGGCCCACCAAGGCGACGAUCGGUAGCCGGACUGAGAGGUUGAACGGCCACAUUGGGACUGAGACACGGCCCAGACUCCUACGGGAGGCAGCAGUGGGGGAUAUUGCGCAAUGGGGGAAACCCUGACGCAGCAACGCCGCGUGAAGGAAGAAGGUUUUCGGAUUGUAAACUUCUUUUCUAAGGGACGAAGAAGUGACGGUACCUUAGGAAUAAGCUCCGGCUAACUACGUGCCAGCAGCCGCGGUAAUACGUAGGGAGCAAGCGUUGUCCGGAUUUACUGGGUGUAAAGGGUGCGUAGGCGGCAAUGCAAGUCAGAUGUGAAAUGCACGGGCUCAACCCGUGAGCUGCAUUUGAAACUGUGUUGCUUGAGUGAGGUAGAGGCAGGCGGAAUUCCCGGUGUAGCGGUGAAAUGCGUAGAGAUCGGGAGGAGCACCAGUGGCGAAGGCGGCC
rnacentral:rRNA from 1 species